GGCUCGGUAGCUCAGCUGGUUAGAGCGUGGGAUUCAUAACCCCAAGGUCGCGAGUUCAAGUCUCGCCCGAGCCA
rnacentral:tRNA from 1 species